UAAGAUUUCAUGAAAGCGCGUGUACUCAUCUUUUUAUAAACCAACGGUAAAAUCAGCGGCCGAAACAAGGUUCGAAGCUCAAUCAGGGGCCUCACGCCGCAUUUCUCUUCCCCAUGAAAAAACAGCUGGACAAGUGACCGGUCGAACCAGCGGCUUUUCACUCUCUCUCUUCUUUUUUAUACCCCCGAAUUAGCUCUUUCUUUCUUCGCGUUACUCUCCGUGUUAGCUCUCUCUCUAGACUCGAUCUCUGUUUCUAAUAUCUAUUCUUCCAUUAUUAGUAAUGGCUGGCGAUAAGAAGAUUAAGAUCGGUAUCAAUGGGUUUGGAAGAAUUGGCCGUUUGGUUGCUAGAGUCGCACUUCAGAGAAAUGAUAUUGAACUCGUAGCUGUUAACGAUCCUUUCAUUUCUACUGAUUAUAUGACAUAUAUGUUUAAGUAUGAUACAGUUCAUGGUCACUGGAAGCACACCGAUGUUAAGGUCAAGGACGAGAAGACACUUCUCUUUGGUGAUAAGCCAGUCACUGUUUUCGGGAUCAGGAACCCAGAGGAGAUUCCAUGGGGUCAGACUGGUGCCGAGUUUGUUGUUGAAUCCACUGGAGUUUUCACUGACAAGGAAAAGGCUGCUGCGCACUUGAAGGGUGGAGCUAAGAAGGUUGUUAUUUCUGCCCCCAGCAAAGAUGCACCCAUGUUUGUUAUGGGUGUCAACGAGAAGGAAUACAAGCCAGAACUUGACAUUGUUUCCAAUGCAAGCUGCACCACCAAUUGCCUUGCCCCCUUGGCCAAGGUCAUUCACGAUAGAUUUGGAAUUGUUGAGGGUCUCAUGACCACUGUCCACUCCAUUACUGCCACUCAGAAGACUGUUGAUGGGCCGUCAAUGAAGGACUGGAGAGGUGGAAGAGCUGCUUCCUUCAACAUUAUUCCUAUCAGCACUGGAGCUGCCAAGGCUG
rnacentral:misc_RNA from 1 species